rnacentral:rRNA from 1 species
UACGUAGGUGGCAAGCGUUGUCCGGAUUUACUGGGCGUAAAGCGCGCGUAGGUGGAACGAUCAGUCCGGUCUGAAAGCCCCCGGCUCAACCGGGGAGGGUGGCUGGAAACUGUCGUUCUUGAGGGCGAGAGAGGAGGGUGGAAUUCCUGGUGUAGCGGUGAAAUGCGUAGAUAUCUGGAGGAACACCGGUGGCGAAGGCGGCAUCCUGGACCGGCAUUGACGCUGAGGCGCGAAAGCCAGGGGAGCAAACGGG